GAACGCUGGCGGCGUGCUUAACACAUGCAAGUCGAACGGAGUUACGUAUGAAGUAUUUCGGUACGGACUACAUAACUUAGUGGCGAACGGGUGAGUAACACGUGGGCAACCUGCCCUUAACCGGGGGAUAACAUUGUGAAAACAGUGCUAAUACCGCAUAACAGAGUAUCGGGCAUCCGAUAUUUUUAAAAGGAGCAAUCCGGUUUAGGAUGGGCCCGCGUCCAAUUAGCUAGUUGGUGAGGUAACGGCUCACCAAGGCUACGAUUGGUAGCCGAACUGAGAGGUUGAUCGGCCACAUUGGGACUGAGACACGGCCCAGACUCCUACGGGAGGCAGCAGUGAGGAAUUUUCCGCAAUGGGCGCAAGCCUGACGGAGCGACGCCGCGUGAGGGAUGACGGCCUUCGGGUUGUAAACCUCUUUUAUUAGGGAAAAAGACAUUUGUGCUAAUACCACGGAUGUUUGAUUGUACCUGUUGAAUAAGCCCCGGCUAACUACGUG
rnacentral:rRNA from 1 species